AAUCCUCCAAGUGAGGACUGUGAGCAGGAACACGAGGGAAGAGGCUGCUGAGGCCCCGCGUGGCUGUCGACUCCCAACUGGUUAACACGUACGGCACAUCGACACCAUGUCCCCCCGCACAGAAGAGCGCUCUGCCAUCACAAAGUGAGGGGUCAUGGUGACCACGACUGUAAGGAGGACUAUUAGUAACGGACUGAUUUAGACAAAAGAUUUUUUUUUUUUAAUCCAUGGCAGCUCCACAAAGUGCUGCGUGAGAGGAAAAGACAGCAACAUGGGUUUCCACUUCCUGCAAGGGGAGCGUCACUCUGAUUCGAGCCAACCCAACCAGCCUCGGGCUUGGAGACCGGCCUGUUCUCCAGACCUGAGCCAGGCCAGGGGACAACGCACACGGGCUUCCGACUGCUUGUGACCGGACGCAGGUCCGGCUGCCUGCCACUGCCAAAGCCGAUACUCGAGAGGCGGGUGCCGAAGGAGAGAAACGUGGUUUGUUUUCAGGUGCUGGCCAUCUGGAAGAGGGGGGACUCACGUCUCAAAGCCCACCUCCGCCUCUCAGUGGAGACAGAGGUUUUUGUAAGUGGGGAGAAGGGAAGGGCACAAAGAGAUCAAAGGAGGAGCUGCAAGUUCUCCAACAGUCCGUUCUGACAAGGCAAGUGAAGGUCCGCUGUGUGUCAUCCUGGCUUUUCGUCACCCUGGCUCUACGCUCAAAGGCCCCUCCCUGUCUGGGAAUCACAGACAUGAGGGCCUGAGCCCCAGACCUGCCACGGAGAACCUUUUUGAAUGAGGACGGAGACACAGAAGAGAGUUCACGUGAGCAUGUGGCCCGCGAGGCCCUCCGCUCAGGCGGGUCCUUGGAGCACUCUCCUGGCCGUCAUGGGGGCGUGGGCUUUGGCGGGGCAGCCGAGGGGAGGUGGUUAACUUUAAAAACUAGGUAACUCUUUAAAAUAACCACGCGUAUCGAAGUAUAAGCAAAGAACACCCAUCAACGCAGUGGUUCUACUUAAAAUGAGGAACGAGGGUAAGGCAGGAUUUCAUUGUGACACUGGAACUCAUUUCAUCGUUACUCCAACAUAUCCACGGUCCACUUCCACUUGCUGUCCGGGUGCCCUGCAUCUAUUUAACCAACAGACAGGAGGCACCUCCUGCAGGGCAGGGGUCCUGCCUAGGAAGUGUCCGUAAGUGGACAAUGACUUGCUCUCAAGUUGAAGUUUCCUCCAUUUAAUGCCUCUCCUACCUGCCGACCACAGGGACCAAAAUCUCACUGCAGAUGUGCUUCAAGCUGCGCAUGUGUGAGAAAGACGAUGCCCGGAAAACAAAACGUCUGUGCCUACGUCCUGCAUCCAGCAGACCUCCAGACUGAUGCUGAGUGUGAUGUGAACGUCAGGGCUUUCUCCUUCGACUUCAGAAGAAGACUCCAGGGGAUGGAUAUGUGCACCCCCGGGAGUGGGAGACAUCAAAGCCUUCCUGUUUUUCCCUACAGUUUGCCAUUUUCUCCUAUUCCAAGCUUGAACGGUACCUGGAACUGAGCCAAAGAGAGAGCAGCAGCAGGAGAAAGCAGGCACACGAGGAGCUGACAGUGUUCCAGCCACUUCGUCACCAGGAGCUGAAUCCACCGCCACCAGAUUUUAACACCAUCAGCUGAUCCGAGGUCCCCUGGAAUAACGGUGGGCACCAGCAGGUUGGGGCAGCCAACGCCCCCUCCACCUGUGAGUGGACCGCUGAGUUCUGCUCUGUUAACUCGGGUUCUCAGGACUGGGAGGCAGGGGGUCUUCACAUUUGUCAUCGAGUAUGUGCCAGGCACUCGGUUGGUACUUUUAUGUAUUCAGCUUAAUCUAAUCGCAGCAACCUGCAAAACUGGUAUUAUUGCUACUGUGCAUCCAUGAAUUUAUUUGACUUCUUUUUACUUAUACUCACAUCACUCACAUCCUUACGCAACCAGGCCAUGGCUCAAACGUCUCCCCUGACAAGCCUUUCCUGAACUCCCAACCACAGCCACAGCUAUGUCCUUUGCCGUCUUGUUCGUCUGACUCCUUUAAAGCUGUGACCUUGAACCCCUCCCACUCCAAUUUGUUAGUUCUCCCUUCAACUACGUUUAGAAUCUAUCCUAUUGAGUGUUUUUUAAAAUUUCCAUGGUCCAACUUUUCUUUAUAAUUUCUCAUUUCAUACCUACCUGUGCUUUUUUCAUUUCUC